rnacentral:rRNA from 1 species
UACGUAGGGUGCGAGCGUUGUCCGGAAUUAUUGGGCGUAAAGAGCUUGUAGGCGGUUUGUCGCGUCUGCUGUGAAAAUCCGGGGCUCAACCCCGGACCUGCAUUCGAUACGGGCAGACUAGAGUUCGGUAGGGGAGACUGGAAUUCCUGGUGUAGCGGUGAAAUGCGCAGAUAUCAGGAGGAACACCGGUGGCGAAGGCGGGUCUCUGGGCCGAAACUGACGCUGAGGAGCGAAAGCGUGGGGAGCAAACAGG